ACCCGCACAAGCAGCGGAGCGUGUGGUUAAUUCGAUGCUACACGAAGAACCUUACCAGGGUUUGACAUGCAAGUGGUAGGAAACUGAAAAGGGACCGACCCUUCGGGAGCUUGCACAGGUGCUGCAUGGCUGUCGUCAGCUCGUGUCGUGAGAUGUUCGGUUAAGUCCGCUAACGAGCGCAACCCUCGCCGUAUGUUACAAGUGUCAUACGGGACUGCCGGUAAAAGCCGGAGGAAGGUGAGGAUGAUGUCAAGUCAGCAUGACCUUUAUAUCCAGGGCUACACACACGCUACAAUGGUCUGUACAAUUGGUUGCCAAGCCGCGAGGCGGAGCCAAUCCGUAAAGCAGGCCUCAGUUCAGAUUGCAGUCUGCAACUCGACUGCAUGAAGCCGGAGUUGCUAGUAACCGCAGGUCAGCAAUACUGCGGUGAAUACGUUCCCGGGUCUU
rnacentral:rRNA from 1 species